UCGGGAUAGCUCAGCUGGUAGAGCAAGGAACUGAAA
rnacentral:tRNA from 1 species